GAUGAACGCUGGUGGCGUGCCUAAUACAUGCAAGUAGAGCGAAGCGGGGACGGGCGAGUAAAACGUGGAUAACCUCCUAUAAGACUGGGAUAACUUCGGGAAACUGGCGCUAAAACGGAUACUUAUAAAUGGAUCCGCGCUCCAUUAGCUAGUUGGUAAGGUAACGGCUUACCAAGGCAACGAUGCAUAGCCGGCCUGAGAGGGUUAUCGGCCACAGUGAAACUGCGACACGGGCCAGGCUCCUACGGGAGGCAGCAGUAAGGGAUCUUCCGCAAGGGGCGAAAGCCUGAGCGAGCAACGCCGCGUGAGUGAAGAAGGUUUUCGGAUCGUAAAGCUCUGUUGUUAAGGAAGCGGUACUUAACCAGAAAGGGACGGCUAACUACGUGCCAGCAGCCGCGGUAAUUC
rnacentral:rRNA from 1 species